GCGGCCACGUUUGCGCCACCUACAGCCCGGGAGGGUGGGCGUCAUGGCGGCUUCUGGGCCGCUCCCGGUGACCCAGGACCUGUCCACGUUGCGUGCCAAGUUGCAGGGGCUGCUGCGGUUCCUGAAGGAAGCCCUGUCCAUUUCCAGUGCACAUACAGUGGACUUCUACACGGAGUCCGUGUGGGAGCAAGUGGUCGACUUGCCCCCGGAGACGGUGCUGGCGGCGCUGAGAUCGGCGGCGGAGGCGGAGGCCCAGGCCUCGGAGGCGCGCCUCCAGGUGGAAGCCGAGAGUGGAUCAGAUAUUACUGAUUUUCCAAAAAUAUUUUGUGAAACUUCCCAGAAGCUGGUGAGUGUGGAAGCCUUCGCUCUGGCUGCUAAAUAUUAUUCUGUACAAAACUUGGGAAUAUGUACUCCUUUUGAACAGUUGCUUGUAGCCCUUCGUGGAAAUCAAAAACAGAGAACUGAUGAAAAUGUGAAGCUAGAUGAGUUUAUGAAUUUGAAAAAAUCUCAUGAAGUUCAGGCAAUGUCAGAGGUCAUCAGCAGUAUUGCUGAUUACUGUGGAAUAAAGCAGAUAAUUGACCUGGGUUCUGGAAAAGGCUACCUAAGCUCCUUUUUGUCCUUGAAGUAUGGCUUAAAAGUUUAUGGAAUUGAUUCCUCAAAUACCAAUACUCAUGGAGCUGAGGAGAGAAACAGGAAACUGAAGAAACAUUGGAAAGUCUAUCGUAGGCGGUCAAAAUUAGAUGUCAAUGGACUGGCAUUACAAAUGACAAAAGAAAGGAAAGCGCAAGAUGAAAUUAAAUUUAAAGCCGAUAUUGAGGGAGUAUGUAACAGCAGUACUGCAAAUCAAGAAAAGAUGUUGACCUCGGACUUUCUGCAAGAUUUUUCAGGCUCUGUAAUUUCUAACAUCAGAAAACAAAUGGAAAACCUACAUGUUUAUUCAUAUCGAGAAGAAAAUUUGUGUUUUGAAAAUGCCUUUUCUCUUAGGGACCUUUUGCCUAUUAAUGCCAUAGAACCUACUUCUUCAUCCCAUAUACCCAAGAGAAAAAUGUCUGAAGCAAAUAAAGAGAGAAGAAAAGUGACAUCAAAGUCAAAUGAAUCCAAUAUAUAUUCACCUUUAACAUCUUUUAUCACUGCUGAUUCAGAACUACAUGAUAUUAUUAAAGAUCUGGAGGAUUGUUUGAUGGUAGGUCUGCAUACUUGUGGUGAUCUUGCUCCAAAUACUCUGCGAAUAUUUACUUCCAAGUCUGAAAUCAAGGGAGUUUGCAGUGUGGGUUGUUGCUACCACCUCUUAUCUGAAGAGUUUGAAAACCCACAUAAAGAAUGUACCCAAGAAAAGUGGGGAUUUCCAAUGUGCCACUAUUUAAAGGAAGAGAGAUGGUGCUGUGGCCGGAAUGCCAGAAUGUCAGCAUGUUUGGCACUGGAGCGUGUUGCAGUCGGCCAAGGGCUGCCUACUGAAUCACUCUUCUAUCGUGCCGUACUUCAGGAUAUUAUUAAAGAUUGUUAUGGCAUCACCAAAUGUGAUCGGCAUGUUGGUAAAAUUUAUUCCAAAUCCUCUUCCUUUCUGGAUUAUGUCAGAAAGUCUCUAAAGAAGCUUGGAUUAGAUGAGUCCAAGCUACCAGAAAAAAUUAUAAUGGACUACUACAAGAAGUACAAGCCUAGAAUGAAUGAGCUGGAGGCUUUUAAUAUGUUGAAAGUUGUUCUGGCUCCUUGCAUAGAGACAUUGAUUCUUCUGGAUCGACUUUGCUACCUCAAAGAGCAGGAUGAUAUUGCGUGGUCUGCGCUCGUGAAGUUGUUUGAUCCUGUGAAAUCUCCCAGAUGUUAUGCCAUUAUUGCGCUGAAGAAGCAGCAGUGAUUUCAAUUGAAGCAAGAGACAAAUGUGAGAUUCCAGCAUCUAAUCAACAUGAGAUGAUCUGUACAGUCACACUGAGAUGACAACAUUUCAGGAGAAAGCAAAGAAAUACAAUAUGUUGGUAGGACUUUAUACACGUGAAUCCCUGUUGCACUGUUUGUAGACUCAUCUCAUAAAAACUGCUCUUUGGGACUUCCCUGGUGGCGCAGUGGUUGAGAGUCCGCCUGCCGAUGCAGGGGACACGGGUUCGUGCCCCUGUCCGGGAAGAUCCCACAUGCCGCGGAGCGGCUGGGCCCGUGAGUCCUGGCUGCUGAGCCUGCGCGUCCGGAGCCUGUGCUCCGCAACGAGAGAGACCACAGCAGUGAGAGGCCCGCGUACCGCAAAAAAAAAAACCGAACUGCUCUUUGAGAACUCCUUUACAAGUUGAAUGAAAGAGUGGUGCAUUAGCAGGAGCACCAACUCUGACAAUUACCUUCUGGGUUUCCUCAUAUGUGUCAAUUCCUGUGAGAAGCAGUGGCUGAUACUCUGCCUACACCUCCACCGCCACCCAGGUGAGGAGUAAGAACAUCAUCUAGGUGGCUGCCAUGUGGAGAGCACGGGAACAGUACAUUGCCAGGCCUACUUAUCUGCCUGCAAUUCUGGGCCGGAAUGACUCAAAGGCAGGAACCAUGAGAAACACCAUUGAACCUCCAGAUUCUGACGUGGAGCAUUGUUCAGUCUCGCAUGUUUAAUUAAGGUUUAUUGAACCUUUAUAAUAUAUAAUAUGUUAUAUAUCGUAAUUAUAUUAUAUGUGGUAUAAGGUGAAAUAACCCAAAGCUUGUAAUAUUGCAGUGUUCUAAACUGAAGCAUAAAAGACACUCUGAAUGGACCUCUCAGGCUGGAGGACAGCCUAAGCAGUAAGUCUAUGAAAUGGGAAUACAGAGGGCAGAGCUAAACCAUUUCUGUGCCAGAGACCCCCUUGGGCCCCUUCUCAAGCAAUGUUCUUUAACAUACAGUAAAAUACAUAAUUUGACAAAGGAAGCCAAUCAUAUAGAGAUAGUUAACAACAGAGCUUUUAAAAAUGAUAAUUUAGUAAUAUGUGUAUUUAUUACUCAUUAAACAAUAAGAUCAAGUAGCAGUUCUAAAAACUACUAUGGGGACUUCCCUGGUUGUCCAGUGGUUCAGAAUCCACCUUCCAAUGCAGGGGACGUGGGUUCGAUCCCUGGUCAGGGAACUAAGAUUCCACGUGCCACAGGGCAACUAAGCCCACAUGCCGCAACUAGAGAGCCUAUGUGCCAUAACUACAGAGCCCAUGUGCCAUAACUACAGAGCCCACAUGCUCUGGAGCCCACUCAGUCACCACAACUAGAGAGAAGCCCGCGAGCCGGAACAAAGAGCCUGCGUGCUGUAAUGAAUGAUCCUGUGUGCCGCAACUAAGACCCGACACAGCCAAAAACAAACAAAUAAAUAAAUAAAUAUUUUAAAAUAAAUAAUAAAAACUACUAUGAUUUUGAAGUAACAAUAAAUGUGAGUAAUAUUUGAAGAUAUCAGCCACAGCUGUAAUGUGACAUGAAGAUAUCUGCACCUUCUAUUGGCAAGAGUUUCAGGUACUACCAGUCAUACUGAGAUUUUUUGUCCACGUUUAUAAUAGAAGGAAACACUGAAUUUCAAUCAGAGGUUAGUGAAAAUAAAGUAAUAGGUUUUCUCCAAGAUCCACGAUCAUGGAUGCCCUGAAUUCUAUCUGUGGAUCCCCUGGGUUCAGUAUACCCUCUACCUGUAGAACACAGGAAAACAGACCACCUAAAAUAACAACUAUGAAUAGCAAUUCUUCCAUAUUUAGAGGAAUGAUAUCUCCCCAAAUCAGUGUAAGCCUCUACCUACACUAUAUGAUA